CCGCGGCGUCCGCGUCCUCCUAUAUCAGCCCCGCCUCCCUUCCUUUGCAGCAGCAACCUCCCUUCCUUUCCCUUCCCCACCCCUCCUGCUGCAGUCUCUCCUCCUCAGCGGACCCGGUCCUGGAUGGCCGCCUUCUUCGCUGCUGCUCCGCCGCCGGCGGCGGGUGCUCUCGCGUCGUUCCACCACGAGGAGCAGCAGCGUCAGGACGCCGCCGAGGAGCUGUACCACGUGGACGACGACGUCGGCGAGGGCGGCUGCGGCGCAGGACAGCAGGGGAAGCUGUGCGCCAGGGGCCACUGGCGCCCCGCCGAGGACGCCAAGCUCAAGGAGCUCGUCGCGCAGUACGGGCCCCAGAACUGGAACCUCAUCGCCGAGAGGCUGGACGGCAGAUCAGGGAAGAGCUGCCGCCUGCGGUGGUUCAACCAGCUGGACCCGCGGAUCAACCGCCGGGCCUUCUCCGGCGAGGAGGAGGAGCGGCUGCUGGCGGCGCACCGCGCGUACGGCAACAAGUGGGCGCUCAUCGCGCGCCUCUUCCCCGGCCGCACCGACAACGCCGUCAAGAACCACUGGCACGUCCUCAUGGCGCGCAAGCAGCGGGAGCACACCGGCGCGCUCCGCCGGCGCAAACCCUCGUCCUCGCCGGACCCGGCGCCGCCGACGUCGCACUUGGCGCCCGUCGUCGUCCUCCACCACCACCACCACCAGCACCACGCCGGCUCGCCUCCGCGCACCGUCGCCGCCGCUCACGCGCAGUACACGGCAGCGGACACCCGCGCGCACAGCGGCGGCGAGUCCGACGAGACCGCGUCCACCUGCACCACCGACCUGUCCCUCGGCUCCGCCGCCGCCCCCUGCUUCUACCAGAGUGGUACGUACGUACAACGGCACGGCAAAUGCUUUGCUCUGUCAGUCUCUCUGAUGGUGACGGCCUGGCGUGCUCACAACACAUGUCCUACGUACGUGCGUUCGUCCCGCAGGCUACGACGCGGCUCCGCGCGCCGCGGCGUUCGCGCCCAGCGCGCGCUCCGCCUUCUCCGCGCCGCCGGCGUCGGCGCGCCAUGGCGAGUCACGCUCCGACGACAAGGCGUCGCCGCCCUUCUUCGACUUCCUCGGCGUCGGCGCGGCAUGAUCGGGGAGGGGGGCCCCCCGCGGCGGUGUACAGGAGGCGGGCCGAAAGACGCGUAGUUUAGCUUUAGGGUCCAGUUAAUGAUCAAGAACAUGGCCUGAGAGAGGAGAAAGAAUGGUGAUGGAACUGCAGAGUACUAACAAAUUCCUCAUCGAUUUUUUUUUGCCGCUGACGUUGCUAGUAACAGUAUGGCGAUUUGACUGCUCGGCUUGGGUUGGGACUUGGGAGACGAGUUGCAAGCGCUACUACACCAAGGGCAAGCGUGGGAGAUUGACAUGGAUGAAGGAAAGAAACCGCUUGCGAGUUGCGACACAAACUGCAAGGCGAAGGCAGAUCAGAUCCUCUGCUGCCUUGCCUCUUCUGUUCACACCCUCUCUCUCUCUCUCUAUAUAUAUAUUCUUUUCAUGCGCCGUUCUGUUCUGGUCUAGGAUAUUUAUUUAUUUCUCGCCUUUCUUUUUCCUUUCUUUCUUUUUCCUCUCACUUCUCUUCCCCUUUGCAUGAAGAAGAAGAAGAAACCAGGAACCAGUUCCCUGCAUUGCAGUGCCACCCGCCCCGUGCAUUGCGAAUUGGCAAUCUCGCUCUCCUGAAACUUGCCUGCGCUAGCUCUUCUCUUCGCCUCCCCUUCCUGG
rnacentral:misc_RNA from 1 species